UUUCCGUAAAGAAUCUGUCAUUGUAAAUUUGUUUCGGGACUGGUAAAAGUGUUUUGCGUCUUGUUAAUUUUUUUUCUAAAAUGUAAAUUUGUUUCGUCCUUGGUAAAAUCGUUUUUCCCAUGUAAUUGUGUCUUAUGAUAGAUGAAUCGUUAUUCAUCCUUGGUUUAAAUCCAGCGGUGAAGAAAAAAAUUAACACUCACGUAUCCGCGCCAUGUCUCGGGGCAGGUCAUUUCAGCUCAUACAGACUUUAAGGAAAUCUCCGGCUGUUUUCCGUCGCCGUUUCCACCAGGACCGUACCCAGACCCUCUCACACGGCGACCCACUUUUCAAGGUGCACUACCUUGGUACAGAAAAGAUCUAUUCCCUGGAUGUAGAACAGGCUGAAGAGGCCAUAGGCCGGUUACUGGAGAAAUUACCAGAUAUGGCCACCCUAGACAAACUUGGCAAGGAGCAUGCUCUUGUUGUCCGACCUCGCUACGUAGAAGUGAAGGAGAUCAGAACAGGCAGACAGCUCACUAAAACCUAUCUGAAAGACAUUGCAUAUUGCACAGCUGAUACAAGCAAACCCAAUCUUUUCCUCUACAUCUGUAAGCAGCGAGGCCAGCAGCUGCAGUGCAGAGUGUUCUGGUGUAGCAGACCUGACCGGGCAAAAGAUAUGACCGCCUGCUUAGCCAGAUCUUUCCAGAAGGCUCUGAAUGACUUGCAGGAGGAGGAGACCACUCAUGCUAUAGGAGAAGAAAAUCAAAAGGAUGGGAAGCCAACUGCAGUGACGAGAGAAAGAAAAAGGUCCACACAAGCGGACUUGAGAAAAAAAUGAGGGAGUGAUGCUGUGAUGUGUGGAGAAUAGGAAAGUGGAACUUGCACACUUCCAUAAUUUGUAGUGUUGAUGAAGUUAUGAGUUACAAUUUUUUUUUUUUUUUUUAAUAGUGCGUUUAUCUCUACCUACCUUAGAAAUUACAGGGUGAUGUAAGGUAGCUACAGGGAUUCAGGGUUAUUACCUAGUUAUUGUAAUUACUAUAAUAAGUACAUGCAGUAUGUACAUGCAGAACAGGACUGUAAAAAAGUGCCACCAAGUUAUUUGUAUAUACUGUUUUACACACUUUUGAAAAAUUCUGUUGAAUUCACCCUCAGUGUUAACUGCAAUGGAAUUACUGACAAAAAUGAUCAUUAAUAAUGCUUUUAUUUAAUCAACGACAACUAUAAUGAUGUAGAUGAGAUUAAAAAUGUGUGGUUUAAAUAAAACAUUCUGUUGAUGAAAAUAUGACAAGAAAAGUUUAGAUGAUAGAUAUUAACAGUUUUUACAAGAGUGUUUACUUUUUGCUAAAAGCGGACACAUUUGAAAAAUAUGUAAAAAGUUUUAAUAUUUGGCUUAAAUUUUGCACUUGUCGACUAAAAUACUGUUAUUUUUGUUUAUUCAAAUUAGGUGGCAUCUCAGUCAUAAUAAUAUGGACUAUUAACUACAAUUAAAACUGUAUAAAUGAAUACCAUUCACCGUUCAGUGAAUGUUUUAUCUCUAGAACUUUGGACUCUAUGCUUGUCAUAAAGUUGUUGUGUAUGUGACAAUUUAUAGACAUGCUUUUACAUUAAUUUGUGUUGUUCUUUUGUCUUUAAUUACAGGUCGGUGGAGGAGACGGAGCCAUUUGAGAGAGCUGAUGACGAGAAUCAGUAUCAGUGACUGACAUAUGACUACCACAAUAAAAAAAAGUGUGAGAGUAAUAGGGAGCAGCUUUAUGUUCAGACAACUAUGGGUGUUACAGUGAGACAGUGUUACAUGGGAGUGUUACUACUGCUUAUCAGGGGGUUUCCUGUACCUAGAAUCGGUUGCAUCAGAAAAAAAAUAAAAGCCAAACAUUGCAACAUAUGCUUUCAAAGAAAGCCAGCUUUGCGCUUGUUGCCCAAUACUCCAUUGCAGCUCUUUGCUGAGUUCUUCUAAAUGCCUUAUUACAUUAUAUUUUUCCUUAUUAAUAUAUUUGGUCAAAAUAUUUUGCUUUAUUAUCCAAGCAUUUAGAAAUUUAGAAAAUUGUGUUUACAAAUUUAUUAAAAGAGUUAUUCAUCUAUAUUGUGCUUGUAAUAGCAUGUUUCUAAAAUGAAACCCAAUUUCACUGUUGAGCUUGUUUGUUAGGUUAUAAGUUACUUACUGAUUAUUCAUUAAGUUCCACCCUGCUUGGGUAUUGUUGCUUGGUCUGACAAGCUGCACAUGCACUAGGAGUCUCAUCUGUCAUUGACAUUGACAUUAGUUACUGACAUUUGGACAUUCAGGGUUCUUGUUCUCAUCAGUUUUCUUUAAGGCAGCAUGUUUAGCACUAAACUGUUACUACCUUAUCUUACCUGAACCUUUUUUUUAAUUAUUAUUUCUUAUUUAAGCAGGAAAUAAAUUUGCUUUUACCAUCGUACAAACAGGAGAUUUAACAACAGACUUUGCAUCUUCAAAUCAUUACUGAUGUAUUUGGUUCUUACAGAUGGAACAGUUCUAUGAAUGUAAAAAAUAAGCCCCAACAAUUUUCUGUUGAGCAAGAGAACAAAGAUAUGACAAUAAACCCAAAAUAGAUUUACAGAUGAACAAACAUCAAUGAUCACAUCUGUGUUAGUAAUGUGGACUAACAUGUACAAAUUGCACUCUUCAUGUACAAAUUAUAUGUACAAAUGAUGAGCUGUAAAAUGACAAAUUAUUUGUAUGUAUUGUAUUAAAUGACCAUUUGUUUGUACCAAGAAAUGUAAAAGAUAGGUGGGUGCUAAUUUAUACAGAACAUCUCUCCAUAGUCAAGAACAGACAGAAAGGUAUAUAGGCCUAUAUAUAUAUAUAUAUAUAUAUAUAUAUAUAUAUAUAUAUAUAUAAAAAAAAAGGGUAAUUUAAGUGCCUUUCAACGUGGCAUCGUUGUUGGUGCCAGAUGGGCUGGUCUCAGUAUUUCAGAAACUGUUGAUCUCCUGGGAUUUUCAUGCACAACCUAUACAUAUAUAUAUAUCUGAAAUACUGACCUGAGUUGCAAUUAUUUAAUUAUGUGAGAAAAGACAUGAAACCAACACAGCUAUGAAGGAAACCAUUUGCCAGUUGAGAUAAUAGUCAAAUAUACAGUUCAGCAUCAAUUUACAAAAAUAUAUGCAAUAUGUGCAAAAUGCAACAUUUCACUAGUCGAAAUCAAGUACU